rnacentral:sRNA from 1 species
UGACAGCUCAUAGCGGCCAUCUUGGUAA